AGAACGAACGCUGGCGGCAGGCCUAACACAUGCAAGUCGAACGCCUGUAGCAAUACAGGAGUGGCAGACGGGUGAGUAACGCGUGGGAACGUGCCCAAAGGUACGGAACAACUCCGGGAAACUGGAGCUAAUACCGUAUGUGCCCGAAAGGGGAAAGAUUUAUCGCCUUUGGAUCGGCCCGCGUCUGAUUAGCUAGUUGGUGAGGUAAUGGCUCACCAAGGCGACGAUCAGUAGCUGGUCUGAGAGGAUGAUCAGCCACACUGGGACUGAGACACGGCCCAGACUCCUACGGGAGCAGCAGUGGGGAAUAGUUGGACAAUGGGACGCAAGGCCUGAUCCAGCCAUGCCGCGUGAGUAGAGUAGGAAGGCCGUUAAGGGUUGUAAAG
rnacentral:rRNA from 1 species